AUGAAUGCUGGCGGCGUGGAUAAGGCAUGCAAGUCGCACGGUUUUUCUUUUCAAGAAGGUUGAGAUUACAUCAAGACCGACGAGAUUUGAAAGAUAGUGGCGAACGAGUUAGUAACGCCUUGGUAUGUACCCUUUGGUCUAGCAUAGCUCAUCGAAAGGUGGGGUAAUUCUAGAUAGUCUCGCAAGAGUAAAGCAGCAAUGCGCCAUUGGAGCAGCCUAUAUCCUAUCAGUUAGUUGGUGAGGUAAUGGCUCACCAAGGCAAUGACGGGUAGCGGUUCUGAGAGGAUGAUCCGCCACACUGGUACUGAGACACGGACCAGACUCCUACGGGAGGCAGCAGUGAGGAAUAUUGCACAAUGGGGGGAACCCUGAUGCAGCAACGCCGCGUGGAGGAUGACGCAUUUCGGUGUGUAAACUCCUUUUAUAUGUCAAGAAAAUGACGGUAGCAUAUGAAUAAGCACCGGCUAACUCCGU
rnacentral:rRNA from 1 species